UAUAAAGGGAGGUAUGCGCACUGCUAUACUCUCACUAAAUAGGAGCACCUUAACAGACAUCCCACUGAUAUUCGAGAAGCCGAUCGGUUUAUAAAAGGCAUGGGCCGAGGUCUGGUAGCCUUGUUUCUUGUUUGCUGCGCCCUUGUUGCCCUGACGCUGGUCAACCGUACAGCAGCCCGAGACGCUGACGCUGCGGAAUCUGCUCGGAUAGAAUUCGAGCAUACGCCAAGUGACGCCGAAUGGGAAGCCAUCAAGGCGCAGAUGAGAUAUUGGCAGCAGCUGGCCGAUCAGGAACCUGCCAGAUAGGCUGAUAAUGAUCGAGGAAUCUCGAGCGUAUGUUUUCUUCCUCCUUCACAUCCGGCACCGAGCUAACCAUGAAGAACAGCGUUAAUGGUAGAGAACGUGCACCUUUCGCACAACUGCCAAAGAUUUAUUUCUUGAAAUGUCUGAGAAUGUUGCAUCAACAAUAAAGCUUUACCGCUACACAAAGCUA